rnacentral:lncRNA from 1 species
AGGUCACCAACCACAAUCUUCUUCAAAUUGGUAGGUCACCAACCACAGCAUUUGUUCAAAUUGGUAGGUCACCAACCCCACCAACCAUGUCUUUUUCACCACAUUCUUUGCCUAUAUAAAGGCCAUUCGGGAGCAAGCUAAAAUACAUCAACACAAAAACAAUUCUUUUGUGUGUUAUAUUCGAUAGAGAAUUUUGAGAGUUACUCACAAUUUGGUGAGUGGUAGUUAGUGUCCAAAAAUUAG